GAGACACCCCUAUGGAACAGGACUUGCUUCAGUGGGGCUUUGGUGCUCACUGAGUCUGCCCCUUGAGUGUGUCGCU
rfam:Myotis davidii contig115392, whole genome shotgun sequence.